rnacentral:rRNA from 1 species
UACGGAGGGGGCUAGCGUUAUUCGGAAUUAUUGGGCGUAAAGGGCGUGUAGGCGGCUUCGUAAGUCUCAUUGUGAAAGCCCUCGGCUCAACCGAGGAACUGCAUGGGAAACUGCGAAGCUUGAGUCCGGGAGAGGAGAGCGGAAUUCCCAGUGUAGCGGUGAAAUGCGUAGAUAUUGGGAGGAACACCGGUGGCGAAGGCGGCUCUCUGGACCGGUACUGACGCUGAGACGCGAAAGCUAGGGGAGCAAACGGG